rfam:Citrus clementina cultivar Clemenules unplaced genomic scaffold scaffold_4, whole genome shotgun sequence.
UAGGACAAAUAUAUCAAAUCAUCUUUUGCGACCGUACACCGGAUCCCAUUAGAACUCCGCAGUUAAGUGUGCUUGGACGAGAGCAGUAUUAAGAUGCGUGAUCUCUUGGGAAGUUCUCGUGUUGCCCCCC